rnacentral:rRNA from 1 species
ACUAAUAAAGUAGGMCUAGAUCCCCUAUUAUUUUUAUUAAAAAAUUAAAUAAUUUAAUUAUWAAAYGUAAAUCAUUAAAAAUAAAAAAUUUGGCGGUAUUUAUUAUUUAGAGGAACUUGUUUAUUAAAUUGAUMAUCCACGAGUGGAAAAACUUAAUUUUUUUAUUUUUAUGUAUUGUUGUAAAAUUAUAUUAAGAGGUWUUAAUUAAUAAAUUUAAUUAAAAUUWUAAUUCAAAUCAAAAUGUAGAAUAAUUAAGAGUUUAAUGAGUUACAAWUAGAUUAAUAAUUGAAUUUUAAAAAAUUUAAUUUUAUAAAUGAAAAUGGAUUUAAAAGUAAAAUUAUAUAAACUUAUAAUGAA